UACGUGGGGUGCGAGCGUUGUCCGGAAUUAUUGGGCGUAAAGGGCUCGUAGGCGGUUUGUCGCGUCGGGAGUGAAAACCAGGUGCUUAACACCUGGCUUGCUUUCGAUACGGGCAGACUAGAGGUAUGCAGGGGAGAACGGAAUUCCUGGUGUAGCGGUGAAAUGCGCAGAUAUCAGGAGGAACACCGGUGGCGAAGGCGGUUCUCUGGGCAUGACCUGACGCUGAGGAGCGAAAGUGUGGGGAGCGAACAGG
rnacentral:rRNA from 1 species